UAAAUAAAAAAAAUUUUUUAUGGUUUUUAAAAUUUAUUAUAAAUUUAUUUUAUAUAUAAAUUGUAGUAUUAUUAAUUAUUUAAAUAAUAAUUAUUUUAUUUUUGUAGUAAAUAUUAUUAAAAAUUUAAGAAAUUAAGAUUUAGUAAUAUAAAAAUUAAUAACAAAUUUUGUGCCAGCAGUUGCGGUUAUACAAAAAUUAAAUUAAAUUUUAUUAGUGAUUAAUUAGUGAUAUAAUUUAUAAAUUAAUUAAAUAUUUAAUUAUUAGGUGAAAUUUUAAUUUAAUUUAAAUUAAUUUAUUAUGAUUUAAUAAAAUUUAAUAAUAAACUAGGAUUAGAUACCCUAUUAUAUAAAAAUUAAAAAUAUAAUACUAAAAUAAUAGAUAAUUAUUUAUUGAAACUUAAAUAAUUUGGCGGUAUUUUAGUUCAUUUAGAGGAAUCUGUUUAAUAAUUGAUAAUCCACGAAUAAAUUUACUUAAUUUAGAAUUUUGUAUAUCGUUGUUAAAAAAAUAUUUUUUAAUAAUAAAUAAUAUUUAAAAAUUUAAAUUUAAAAUUAAAUCAGAUCAAGAUGCAGAUUAUAAUUAAGAAUAAAAUGGAUUACAAUAAAUUUAUUUAAAUGAAUAUUAAUUUGUAAAAAUUAAUUAAAAGUGGAUUUAAAUGUAAUUUUAUUUAGUUUAAUAAAAUGAUUAAAAAUUAAAAUAUGUACAUAUUGCCCGUCGCUUUCAUAAAUAAAUUGAAAUAAGUCGUAACAAAGUAGAGGUACUGGAAAGUGUUUCUAGAAAUAU
rnacentral:ncRNA from 1 species